CCCCAGCCUGGACCACCGGCCCCACAAUGCUCCGCGACCGGGUGCGCAAAUCUCGGGCGACAGGCUUUGCGCGACUUGUACCGCCCGUGUAGCCGAGUUUGGGUCAUUCUUUCAGGUUUUUUUUGUUUGUCCGCGCAUCUGAGAAGUGGGUGUAGAGAGCAUGGUAAAGAUGGAAGAACUCUUUGUUGUUGUUGUUGUUAUCUGAGCUGGAGCUGCAGCAGUGAUGGAUCCUUUAACCCACUGCAUCUGGCCAGGGAUCAAACCCAUGCCUCUGCAGCAACCCAAGCUGCCACAGUCAGCUUCACCUGCCACAUCACAGCGGGAACUCUAGGGGGUCAAUUGGAGCUGUAGCUGCUGGCCUACACCACAGCCACAGCAACAUGAGAUCCAAGCCUCGUCUGUGAUCUACACCACCGUUCACGGCAACGCCAGAUCCUUAACCCACUGAGCAAGGCCAGGGAUCAAACCCGAAUCCUCAUGGAUACUAGUCAGGUUUGUUAACCGCUGAGCCAUGAUGGGAGCUCCAAGAAGGAUUCUUUUCUUUUGCGAAAGCAACAACAACAACAACAAUAAGACCCAACAAGUAGAUUUCUACUUGUUAGUAGUUGUUUUUUCUAGGAUUGGUUGACCUAAUGAUACUCAUAAUGAAAAGUCUACUGUAAAUUCUUCAAUGACGUUAAAUAUCUUUGUAUUUCAUGAAAGAUGCUAUUUCUACAUUUAUUGGACUGUUAUAUAUAUGUGUGUGAUACCUUGUUUAUUCAGCCUACAGGCAAAAACUUAGUGAUUAUGUGGGUUUUGAGAAGUCUGGCAAUAAUUCCUCAGUCUCAUGAUUGGGAUAGAAAACGCUAAGAAAGAAGAGGUACCUUAGGUGCAAGUACAGACUGUCCUAAAAUUCAGGAGCCCCAAUUCAUAGCAGAUCUCAGAAAAAUAAGGGACUUUCCCCCUCUUGAUCUCUUUCUUCCUCAGUAUCAGUUCUGAAUCUAGAAAGAUGUUCCUUCAGAAUCCCCCAAAGAAAUAUGCAUGGUACAAGUAAUUAAGACUUGGGUUAGAACACAUUUUUGUUAUGGUAAUACUUUUAGGCUCAGUCAUGAGGGGUGAAGGUGUGAUCCAUUGUAUUCUAAAGUAGUUGAAUGCUUGGUUUAGUUCCAAGAUGGACCCGUUUAUAACAAUUUGUGUGUGUGUGUGUGUUUUUUAGGGCCGCGCCUGUGGCAUAUGGAAGUUCCUAGGCCAGGGGUCGAAUCAAAGCUACAGCUGCUGGCCUACGCCGAGGCACAGCAACUCAGGAUCCAAGCCGCAUCUGUGACCUACACCACAGCUCAUGGCAAUGCCAGAUCCUUAACUUACUGAGUGAGGCCAGGAAUCCAACCCGCAUCCUUAUGGAUCCCAGUGGGAUUCAUUAACUGCUGAGCAGUUAAAGGAACUCCCUAACAAAUUUUUAAAAAACAUAAUGGCAUUCAAAAGAAAGUGAU
rnacentral:lncRNA from 1 species